GCCAGCUUGGAUUUUCUCCUGCUCACCCAGCUGUCCCCAGGAACCCCUUGUGAAACAAGCACCUCCGUUGGAACUGUUCAACUUUCAACUUAAUUGGAGAGCUAAAAGUGGCCCUCAUUGAGUUACCCUGUGAGGAACUGAUACAAAAUGCUGAUCUGGCUGCUGUCAAGAGGAUGAAAUAGAUAAAGCAAGACAUAGACAAGUUCAGAGGAACAGAUUAGAGAAACCAAAAGUGGAGGCAAAGAUUGUGAUUGAAGCUAUUGCAGGAGUCGAGGUGAAAUGUUGGAGGCCUACUUCAGAGACCAGCUACAAUCAACCUUAAAAUCACCAAAUGACAAUAAUCAAACCACAAAAAAGAAGCAGCUGGUGCUUCUGCCUUUUAUGGGAGUUUUUACUUUUACAUUUCUUCCUUCAUGUAUUCAUUCACAAAUCCAAUGUUUACUCUCUCUGGCCUUAUUCCAGGUACUCGGUGUGCAGUGGUGAACAGAAUAGCUGUAUUGUCUGUACUCACGAGUAAUAGGAUUCUAGGAAAAAAUUCACGGCAUGCUCAGAUUUGAAAAAAAUAAAGGUAACUUUAACCAAAAAAUAAAAGCUGUUUACUUAAGUGUGGGCAAAAUGUUUGUAAAAUACAGGUUAUUGUGUAAACUCAGGGUAAGUAAUAACUAUUACUAAGCUGAAGCUUGAAAGGAUAAGGUAAGAGAGUGGUGUCCAUAAUUGGAGACAAGAAAGCUCUGUGGAG
rnacentral:lncRNA from 1 species